AUUGAACGCUGGCGGCAGGCCUAACACAUGCAAGUCGAGCGAGCGGCGGACGGGUGAGGAAUGUCUGGGAAACUGCUUGAGGGAGGGGGAUUACUACAGGAAAAGGUAGCUAUUACCGCAUACCAUCAGAUGUGCCCAGAGGGGGGUAGCUAGUAGGUGGGGUAACGGCCCACCUAGGCGACGAUCCCUAGCUGGUCUGAGAGGAUGAACAGCCACACUGGAACUGAGACACGGUCCAGACUCCUACGGGAGGCAGCAGUGGGGAAUAUUGCACAAUGGGCGCAAGCCUGAUGCAGCCAUGCCGCGUGUGUGAAGAAGGCCUUCGGGUUGUAAAGCACUUUCAGCGGGGAGGCGUUACCCGCAGAAGAAGCACCGGCUAACUCCGUGCCAGCCGCCGCGGUAAUAC
rnacentral:rRNA from 1 species